rnacentral:lncRNA from 1 species
GCUGGUAUUGAUGGAUGAUAUAGGUCUCACUCUGCUGGUAUUGAUGGAUGGCAUAGGUCUCACACUCUGCUGGUAUUGAUGGAUGGUAUUGGUCUCACACUCUGCUGGUAUUGAUGGAUGGUAUAGGUCUCACACUCUGCUGGUAUUGAUGGAUGGUACAGGUCUCACUCUGCUGGUAUUGAUGGAUGGUAUAGGUCUCACUCUGCUGGUAUUGAUGGAUGGUAUAGGUCUCACACUCUGCUGGUAUUGAUGGAUGGUACAGGUCUCACUCUGCUGGUAUUGAUGGCUGGUAAAGGUCUCACACUCUGCUGGUAUUGAUGGCUGGUAUAGGUCUCACACUCUGCUGGUAUUGAUGGAUGGUAUAGGUCUCACUCUGCUGGUAUUGAUGGAUGGUAUAGGUCUCACACUCUGCUGGUAUUGAUGGUUGGUAUAGGUCUCACUCUGCUGGUAUUGAUGGAUGGUAUAGGUCUCACUCUGCUGGUAUUGAUGGAUGGUAUAGGUCUCACUCUGCUGGUAUUGAUGGAUGGUAUAGGUCUCACUCUGCUGGUAUUGAUGGCUGGUAUAGGUCUCACUCUGCUGGUAUUGAUGGAUGGUAUAGGUCUCACUCUGCUGGUAUUGAUGGCUGGUAUAGGUCUCACACUCUGCUGGUAUUGAUGGAUGGUAUAGGUCUCACACUCUGCUGGUAUUGAUGGAUGGUAUAGGUCACACUCUGCUGGUAUUGAUGGAUGGUAUAGGUCUCACACUCUGCUGGUAUUGAUGGAUGGUAUAGGUCACACUCUGCUGGUAUUGAUGGAUGGUAUAGGUCUCUCUCUGCUGGUAUUGAUGGCUGGUACAGGUCUCACUCUGCUGGUAUUGAUGGAUGGUAUAGGUCUCACUCUGCUGGUAUUGAUGGAUGGUAUAGGUCUCACACUCUGCUGGUAUUGAUGGAUGGUAUAGGUCUCACUCUACUGGUAUUGAUGGCUGGUAUAGGUCUCACUCUGCUGGUAUUGAUGGAUGGUAUAGGUCUCACUCUGCUGGUAUUGAUGACUGGUAUAGGUCUCACUCUGCUGGUAUUGAUGGAUGGUAUAGGUCUCACACUCUGCUGGUAUUGAUGGCUGGUAUAGGUCUCACACUCUGCUGGUAUUGAUGGCUGGUAUAGGUCUCACACUCUGCUGGUAUUGAUGGAUGGUAUAGGUCUCACACUCUGCUGGUAUUGAUGGAUGGUAUAGGUCUCACUCUGCUGGUAUUGAUGGAUGGUAUAGGUCUCACACUCUGCUGGUAUUGAUGGAUGGUAUAGGUCUCACACUCUGC